UACGGGGGGGGCAAGCGUUGUUCGGAAUUACUGGGCGUAAAGGGCGCGUAGGCGGCGCAACAAGUCACUUGUGAAAUCUCCGGGCUUAACCCGGAGCGGCCAAGUGAUACUGUCGUGCUAGAGUGCGGAAGGGGCUACUGGAAUUCUCGGUGUAGCGGUGAAAUGCGUAGAUAUCUGGAGGAACACCGGUGGCGAAGGCGGCAUCCUGGACCAAUUCUGACGCUGAGGAGCGAAAGCCAGGGGAGCAAACGGG
rnacentral:rRNA from 1 species